GACGAACGCUGGCGGCGUGCUUAACACAUGCAAGUCGAACGGAAAGGCCCUGCUUUUGUGGGGUGCUCGAGUGGCGAACGGGUGAGUAACACGUGAGUAACCUGCCCUUGACUUUGGAAUAACUUCAGGAAACUGGGGCUAAUACCGGAUAGGAGCUCCUGCUGCAUGGUGGGGGUUGGAAAGUUUCGGCGGUUGGGGAUGGACUCGCGGCUUAUCAGCUUGUUGGUGGGGUAGUGGCUUACCAAGGCUUUGACGGGUAGCCGGCCUGAGAGGGUGACCGGCCACAUUGGGACUGAGAUACGGCCCAGACUCCUACGGGAGGCAGCAGUGGGGAAUAUUGCACAAUGGGCGGAAGCCUGAUGCAGCAACGCCGCGUGCGGGAUGACGGCCUUCGGGUUGUAAACCGCUUUCGCCUGUGACGAAGCGUGAGUGACGGUAAUGGGUAAAGAAGCACCGGCUAACUACGUGCCAGCAGCCGCGGUGAUACGUAGGGUGCGAGCGUUGUCCGGAUUUAUUGGGCGUAAAGGGCUCGUAGGUGGUUGAUCGCGUCGGAAGUGUAAUCUUGGGGCUUAACCCUGAGCGUGCUUUCGAUACGGGUUGACUUGAGGAAGGUAGGGGAGAAUGGAAUUCCUGGUGGAGCGGUGGAAUGCGCAGAUAUCAGGAGGACCACCAGUGGCGAAGGCGGUUCUCUGGGGCUUUCCUGACGCUGAGGAGCGAAAGCGUGGGGAGCGAACAGGCUUAGAUACCCUGGUAGUCCACGCUGUAAACGGUGGGUACUAGGUGUGGGGUCCAUUCCACGGGUUCCGUGCCGUAGCUAACGCUUUAAGUACCCCGCCUGGGGAGUACGGCCGCAAGGCUAAAACUCAAAGGAAUUGACGGGGCCCCGCACAAGCGGCGGAGCAUGCGGAUUAAUUCGAUGCAACGCGUAGAACCUUACCUGGGUUUGACAUGGAUCGGGAGUGCUCAGAGAUGGGUGUGCCUCUUUUGGGGUCGGUUCACAGGUGGUGCAUGGCUGUCGUCAGCUCGUGUCGUGAGAUGUUGGGUUAAGUCCCGCAACGAGCGCAACCCUUGUUCACUGUUGCCAGCACGUUAUGGUGGGGACUCAGUGGAGACCGCCGGGGUCAACUCGGAGGAAGGUGGGGAUGACGUCAAGUCAUCAUGCCCCUUAUGUCCAGGGCUUCACGCAUGCUACAAUGGCUGGUACAGAGAGUGGCGAGCCUGUGAGGGUGAGCGAAUCUCGGAAAGCCGGUCUCAGUUCGGAUUGGGGUCUGCAACUCGACCUCAUGAAGUCGGAGUCGCUAGUAAUCGCAGAUCAGCAACGCUGCGGUGAAUAAGUUCCCGGG
rnacentral:rRNA from 1 species